rnacentral:rRNA from 1 species
ACGCUCGACACCUACGGGGCAGCAGUGGGGGAUAUUGCACAAUGGGGGAAACCCUGAUGCAGCAACGCCGCGUGAGGGAAGACGGUUUUCGGAUUGUAAACCUCUGUCCUUGGUGACGAUAAUGACGGUAGCCAAGAAGGAAGCCACGGCUAACUACGUGCCAANAGCCGCGGUAAUCUGAGCGGGCGUGGCAAGGC